rnacentral:tRNA from 1 species
GGGGGUAUGGUUCAAGUACUAGAGCAUUUGCCUAGCAAGCUCAAGGCUCUGAGUUCAAUCCCUAGUACCACCA